GUUUUGUUAUAAAUCACCAGCAUAAUAAUUUGAAACGAUUUUCCUGAAGAAAAAUACAUGAGCACAUCCAUACCAUAACUUUUUCACUUGAAAUUGGCUAGUCAUUAGAAUUUUAAUUUCCGUCUUACAAUCUUCAGAUUGGUUCCAAUAUGAAAAAUUUCCAACCAAACUAGCUAAAGCUUAACUUGAGAUAUGGGCAAUGAAA
rnacentral:misc_RNA from 1 species